CAACAUACCUCAUCCAUCAAGUUGUUUGACGUACUUUGGUGCUCCAAGAAGACAGAGAGCCUCCUUAGAGCUCCCACACUUCCCUUCCACAUUGAACUGACCUCUGAACAAGUGCUAGACUAUGAGGGAAGUUGAGAGUGCUGGAGCUUUCAGGUUUCCCCAACCUCACUUCAUGUUUGCAGUGCACUGGCAUGACCUUGAUGCCCUUGGGCAGAAGAAGGGCCCUCCCUGAGCAAGGGUGGUCAGUGCCGACGGAGGUUGAGGAAUAUCAACAGGGAGCUCUGCAACAAUUUAAUCCUGUGGAGAAGGGCUGGAAAGAGUCAAGUAAAUGAGAGAAGAUGUAGUGGCAAAACAGUGUGCAAUCGCCUGUCACAAACUCUACCAGCACCGUGGAAAUGCAAGACCUCAGUCUUCCUAUCCAUCUGUUGUCUGCAGAUAGCUGAGAAAAUCCCACCCAAAAUGAGUGUCCUACUCAAUCACCUUCUUUCCCUUCAACCUGUGACUAAUCUAUGAAGAAAAGAACAGCUUGCCUAACCUGACAAAUCUGCAAUGCGCACCUUUAUUACUUGACUGAAACUAAUAACUCUUCCAUGGCAGCCAAAAUGGGUGAUCAAUACAAAUCCAUGCAACAAAA